rnacentral:rRNA from 1 species
GACGAACGCUGGCGGCGUGCUUAACACAUGCAAGUCGAACGGUAAGGCCCCUUCGGGGGUACACGAGUGGCGAACGGGUGAGUAACACGUGAGCAACCUGCCCUUGACUCUGGAAUAACAGUUGGAAACAGCUGCUAAUACUGGAUAUGCACUCAUCUCCUCCUGGGGGUGAGUGGAAAGCUCCGGCGGUCAGGGAUGGGCUCGCGGCCUAUCAGCUUGUUGGUGAGGUAAUGGCUCACCAAGGCUUCGACGGGUAGCCGGCCUGAGAGGGCGACCGGCCACACUGGGACUGAGAUACGGCCCAGACUCCUACGGGAGGCAGCAGUGGGGAAUAUUGCACAAUGGGCGCAAGCCUGAUGCAGCAACGCCGCGUGC